GACGAACGCUGGCGGCGUGCCUAAUACAUGCAAGUAGAACGCUGAAGGAGGAGCUUGCUUCUCUGGAUGAGUUGCGAACGGGUGAGUAACGCGUAGGUAACCUGCCUGGUAGCGGGGGAUAACUAUUGGAAACGAUAGCUAAUACCGCAUAAUAGUAGAUGUUGCAUGACAUUUGCUUAAAAGGUGCAAUUGCAUCACUACCAGAUGGACCUGCGUUGUAUUAGCUAGUUGGUGGGGUAACGGCUCACCAAGGCGACGAUACAUAGCCGACCUGAGAGGGUGAUCGGCCACACUGGGACUGAGACACGGCCCAGACUCCUACGGGAGGCAGCAGGAGGGAAACUUCGGCAAUGGACGGAAGUCUGACCGAGCAACGCCGCGUGAGUGAAGAAGGUUUUCGGAUCGUAAAGCUCUGUUGUAAGAGAAGAACGAGUGUGAGAGUGGAAAGUUCACACUGUGACGGUAGCUUACCAGAAAGGGACGGCUAACUACGUG
rnacentral:rRNA from 1 species